rnacentral:rRNA from 1 species
AUGGGACCUCCUCACAUCUCACUCACACGUUGUCAAUCCUCCCACUGCAUAAUACGUAAUAGAGAUGGAAGAGAGAAGGGCUGUGCUAGACUACUGGUACGUACACGCAUUCUCUCUCCCGGAGAGCUUGAGAAAGAGAGAGUGAGAUCCAUGGCGACCUACCGUCCGGACAGCAACACCCUCCUGGCGGACGACUCGAUCCUGGAGUACGUGCUGGAGACGACGGUGUACCCGCGGGAGCACGAGCGCCUGCGCGAGCUCCGCCUCAUCACGCAGCAGCACGCCAAGUCCUUCAUGGGGUCGUCGCCGGACCAGAUGCAGUUCUUCUCCGUCCUGCUCAAGAUGAUCGGCGCCAGCAACACAAUCGAGGUCGGCGUGUUCACCGGAUACUCACUGCUCACCACCGCUCUCGCCCUCCCCGCCGGCGGCAAGGUGGUGGCGAUCGAUGCGAGCCGGGAGUACUACGAGCUGGGGCGGCCGGUGAUCGAGAAGGCCGGCGUCGCGCACAAGGUGAACUUCCGCGAGGGCGACGGGGUCGCCGAGCUCGACAAGAUCCUGUCCGAGGACGGCGGCGCCAGGGCCGGCACGUUCGACUUCGCGUACGCGGACGCGGACAAGCUGCAGUACGCGGGGUACCACGAGCGGCUGCUGCGCCUGGUGCGCGUCGGCGGCGCCAUCGCCUACGACAACACGCUCUGGGGCGGCUCCGUGGCCAUGCCCCGCGACAAGCCGGGCAGCUCCGAAUACGACCGCCGGGUGCGGGACAGCUUCCUUGAGUUCAACGCCGCCGUCGCCGCAGACGACCGCGUCGAGGCCUGCAUCGUCCCCAUCGCCGACGGCGUCACGCUGUGCCGCCGCGUCAAAUGA